rnacentral:rRNA from 1 species
UGCCAGCCGCCGCGGUAACACGGGGGGCGCAAGCGUUAUUCGGAAUCACUGGGCUUAAAGCGCAUGUAGGCGGCUAUGAAAGCGUCGGGUGAAAUCCCUCGGCUCAACCGAGGAACGGCUUGGCGAACUUCAUAGCUUGAGGCAGGUAGGGGCUGUCAGAACGAUAGGUGGAGCGGUGAAAUGCGUAGAUAUCUAUCGGAAUGCCGAAGGAGAAAUCAGGCAGCUGGGCCUGUGCUGACGCUGAGGUACGAAAGCGUGGGGAGCGAACGGGAUUAGAUA